rnacentral:rRNA from 1 species
AACCAGCACCUCAAGUGGUCAGGAUGAUUAUUGGGCCUAAAGCAUCCGUAGCCGGCUCUGUAAGUUUUCGGUUAAAUCUGUACGCUCAACGUACGGGCUGCCGGGAAUACUGCAGAGCUAGGGAGUGGGAGAGGUAGACGGUACUCGGUAGGAAGGGGUAAAAUCCUUUGAUCUAUUGAUGACCACCUGUGGCGAAGGCGGUCUACCAGAACACGUCCGACGGUGAGGGAUGAAAGCUGGGGGAGCAAACCGG